rnacentral:rRNA from 1 species
CCUACGGGAGGCAGCAGUGGGGAAUAUUGGUCAAUGGACGAGAGUCUGAUCCAGCCAAGUAGCGUGAAGGAUGACUGCCCUAUGGGUUGUAAACUUCUUUUAUAUGGGAAUAAAAUGUUACACGUGUGGGAUUUUGUAUGUACCAUAUGAAUAAGGAUCGGCUAACUCCGUGCCAGCAGCCGCGGUAAUACGGAGGAUACGAGCGUUAUCCGGAUUUAUUGGGUUUAAAGGGAGCGUAGGUGGAUUGUUAAGUCAGUUGUGAAAGUGUGGGGCUCAACCGUAAAAUUGCAGUUGAAACUGGCAGUCUUGAGUAUAGUAGAGGUGGGAGGAAUUCGUGGUGUAGCGGUGAAAUGCUUAGAUAUGUCGAAGAACACCGAUGGCGAAGGCAGCUCACUGGACUGCAACUGACACUGAGGUGCGAAAGUGUGGGUAGCAAACAGGAUUAGAUACCUGUGUAGUC